AGCGAACGCUGGCGGCAGGCCUAACACAUGCAAGUCGAACGAACUCUUCGGAGUUAGUGGCGUACGGGUGAGUAACACGUGGGAACGUGCCUUUUGGUUCGGAAUAACUCAGGGAAACUUGUGCUAAUACCGAAUGUGCCCUUCGGGGGAAAGAUUUAUCGCCAUUAGAGCGGCCCGCGUCUGAUUAGCUAGUUGGUGAGGUAACGGCUCACCAAGGCGACGAUCAGUAGCUGGUCUGAGAGGAUGACCAGCCACACUGGGACUGAGACACGGCCCAGACUCCUACGGGAGGCAGCAGUGGGGAAUCUUGCGCAAUGGGCGAAAGCCUGACGCAGCCAUGCCGCGUGAAUGAUGAAGGUCUUAGGAUUGUAAAAUUCUUUCACCGGGGACGAUAAUGACGGUACCCGGAGAAGAAGCCCCGGCUAACUUCGUGC
rnacentral:rRNA from 1 species